rnacentral:rRNA from 1 species
GAUGAACGCUGGCGGCGUGCCUAAUACAUGCAAGUCGAGCGAACGGACGAGAAGCUUGCUUCUCUGAUGUUAGCGGCGGACGGGUGAGUAACACGUGGAUAACCUACCUAUAAGACUGGGAUAACUUCGGGAAACCGGAGCUAAUACCGGAUAAUAUUUUGAACCGCAUGGUUCAAAAGUGAAAGACGGUCUUGCUGUCACUUAUAGAUGGAUCCGCGCUGCAUUAGCUAGUUGGUAAGGUAACGGCUUACCAAGGCAACGAUGCAUAGCCGACCUGAGAGGGUGAUCGGCCACACUGGAACUAAGCCACGGUCCAGACUCCUACGGGAGGCAGAAGUAGGGAAUCUGCCGCAAUGGGCGAAAGCCUAACGGAGCAACGCGGCGUGAGUGAUGAAGGUGUUCGGAUCGUAAAACUCUGUUAUUAGGGAAGAACAUAUGUGUAAGUAACUGUGCACAUCUUGACGGUACCUAAUCAGAAAGCCACGGCUAACUACGUG